GACGAACGCUGGCGGCGUGCUUAACUCAUGCAAGUCGAACGAUGAAGCCGGAGCUUGCUCUGGUGAAUUAGUGGCGAACGGGUGAGUAACACGUGAGUAACCUGCCCUUGACUCUGGGAUAACUGCGGGAAACUGUAGCUAAUACCGGAUACGACCCUCGGAGGCAUCUCCUGGGGGUGGAAAGAAUUUCGGUCAAGGAUGGACUCGCGGCCUAUCAGCUAGUUGGGGAGGUAAAGGCUCACCAAGGCGACGACGGGUAGCCGGCCUGAGAGGGUGACCUGCCACACUGGGACUGAGACACGGCCCAGACUCCUACGGGAGGCAGCAGUGGGGAAUAUUGCACAAUGGGCGCAAGCCUGAUGCAGCAACGCCGCGUGAGGGAUGACGGCCUUCGGGUUGUAAACCUCUUUUAGCAGGGAAGAAGCGAAAGUGACGGUACCUGCAGAAAAAGCACCGGCUAACUACGUGCCAGCCGCCGCGGUAA
rnacentral:rRNA from 1 species